ensembl:lncRNA
CUACAUUUGGUGUAUAAUUUUACUGCAAGAAAUGCUUAAUUCUGCAGGAAUUAUUAUUAAGGCUAUAGCCCUAUUCACACGGGACUAGUAUUAUUAGAGAACGUUGGUUAUGUAUUUAUUACCCCAGAAUGUCCAUUAUUUCAAAGGAUGAUUCAGACGGGAUUAAUUGACAGUUAUGACUGAUACCUGGAGGUUUUUUUCUAGGCAUGAAGACAUUUCAACAAGUCCAGGCUACACUGAUAAAACUCGAGCCUGGUUUCCAAGUUUGUAAACCAUACCAAACUGUCUUUGGUAUAGUGUUGCCACAAUAUUUGAAUUGAGGAAGUGUGAUCUGUGAAAGAAAAAUUACCUGAUUUGUUUGAUAUUAAUAGUUAACAAUGAAUACUUAACAAAUAGUAAGACAUUUCUGUUCUACUAAUGCUGUGUUUUUCUGGUCUCCACUCUAUCUCCCUGCAGCUAAUCUGGGCAUAUGGUUUUACUAUAGAUAGCUUGAGCUGACAAUUGAUUAAUAACUUGGUGAUAAAAACCUACAGCUGGUAUUCCAUAGAUAAGAUGUGGUGUGUGUGAUCCGAGAUAGAAAGAGCCUGGAGGAGUAGAACAAUCCCUUAUUGUGUCUAAUCAUUCUUGCAUCUGGGAAAUGUCCCUGGCUGCAGAUGAACACAGGAUGAACCCAGGAUGGAUUGUGGUGCCCCCCAAUCUGCAUGGGGGGGUGGAACCAGCCAUGACUAGGCAUGUUUGGGUCUCCUAUAGAAGAUCUCUGUUUUUGAUUAAAGGUUAAGCUCUCGGUAACACACACUUCGGAGUGUGUGGUCGACCAUCUUCAUUAUUGCAAUAAUUAAUCAUUAUUAAAUAAAGAUGAUCGUUUGACGAAAUGACAAAGUCUCUCUCAGUAUACAUUGAUUUCCAUGACAUAUCAUAAUCAUUAGGAUAGUUUAGCAAUCGGCAGUAGAAGACGUCCUAAAUGCUCCCCAGCCUUCAGAUGUGAGCUCAACAUCUAACGUGGACUUGAUGUGCGUUUUUAGGAAAUGGAUUAGAAGGUAAACUUGUUCCAAACGUUUAGCUCAGUUGUAUGCUGCUUUGUGAUCUAUUAACAGCAGGGGUUGCAUUAAAUAGGCACAGCAUUUUUUAUGAUACAUUUGGUGAUCAAUUCAUUCGCACAAAACAUAUAAACAAAAGCAUUCACUGUGGAAGUUGAUACACGUAGGCCCUUCAUAUAUAGGCUAUGUGCAGCAUUUUGGGCAAUUUAUUGAAUCCGUUGUUUUCUUGGCCAAACACAAAAACACCACAUAGAAAAAGGAACAUAGACAACCCACCCAACUCACGCACGGACAAAGACAAAACUAAAACAAAGACAUAACAAAAGAACCAAGGUCAGAACGUGACAGCCAUAGCCUAUUUGAAGUCCCAUCUUGUGACUGUCGAAUUUGGAUAGCGCCUCACAAUCCUCACUCACACAUAACAUAGCCGACACUAAUAUCAUCUAUUACCACUUCACCAAAUCUUUCCCAAACAUUACUUUUCUGGCCCUCACUUCUCUUUAUUUUCAACUCUCCUUUUGCAGCUUUUGGCUUAUUGAAUUAUACUUCGACAAUGUCCUUUCCCCUCAGUGGAUUGACUUUUUCUGCCUGUUCCCAAAAGGCUUAUUUGGCGAUAGGCUGUGACGGCUAUUUGGCAUGCAUACACUUAAGCACUAAAGUUGAAGCUUAUGCAGUUAUAUGAGAUAGUGUAAAACAAUUCAAGAAAACCCUCAAUGUAGCCUAUAUAAAUUGCAUAAUAAUUGAUGGAUUUUUUAAGGUAUUGCUUCUCUUUAUUCAACCCACCUGCCCUUCAGCCACACAAUAUUUAAUUAACCUAAACCCGUCCGCCCCGCAGAUAUAACCGCAGGGACUGUGGGUUCUAGGUCAACCCGCGCAUCACUUCCGGGGACCCCAGCCCAAAGUCUUUGUGGGAGAUGAGGCCUUUCCUCUCCGGAGAAACCUCAUGCGGCCCUUCCCUGGAGCAAUCAUCCCCAGGAGAAACACGGUCUUCAACUACCGCCUCGCCCGAACCAGGCUGACUGGAGUGCACCUCCGCCAUUCUUGCGUCCCACUGGCAGAUGUUCCGGUGAGUUAACAGGGUCCACCCUGCUAACGCAGAGGUGUGUGUGAAGGCUACCUGUGUCUUGUAUAACUUCAUGAGCAUGGACACAAGAACCAGGAGGGGAGCUGCAGCUCACCGCCGUGUCCCAGAGGAG